CAACGAAUCUACACAAUGAUACUACAGACGAGCAUGAGGAACAUUCCAAAUAUCGGCGGGUAAUGAUACCCACCUCUCCAGGCGUGAUUCCUAGCAGCUUCGGUUGCCUCGUUACUCUGCCGAUCAGAUGUUAGGUAGCUAAAAUCAGAUGCUGCAUGGGUACAUAACCAACAACAAAGCAAAACUGCGGCAACAAUAAAAUAUUCGUUAACCGAUCACAUAGGCGUGCUGAUAUGCUUGAUAAGUAUGGCCAUACCCUUAACAAAAGUACUUACGGGUUUGAACUUACAGGGAGUAAUGUAG